CCUGGUGGCUCAGAUGGUAAAGCAUCUGCUUGCAAUGCAGGAGACCCAGAUUCGAUUCCUGGGUCAGGA
rnacentral:tRNA from 1 species